rnacentral:rRNA from 1 species
UGGGGAAUUUUGGACAAUGGGCGAAAGCCUGAUCCAGCAAUGCCGCGUGUGUGAAGAAGGCCUUCGGGUUGUAAAGCACUUUUGUCCGGAAAGAAAUCCUUGGCUCUAAUACAGUCGGGGGAUGACGGUACCGGAAGAAUAAGCACCGGCUAACUACGUGCCAGCAGCCGCGGUAAUACGUAGGGUGCAAGCGUUAAUCGGAACUACUGGGCGUAAAGCGUGCGCAGGCGGUUUGCUAAGACCGAUGUGAAAUCCCCGGGCUCAACCUGGGAACUGCAUUGGUGACUGGCAGGCUAGAGUAUGGCAGAGGGGGGUAGAAUUCCACGUGUAGCAGUGAAAUGCGUAGAGAUGUGGAGGAAUACCGAUGGCGAAGGCAGCCCCCUGGGCCAAUACUGACGCUCAUGCACGAAAGCGUGGGGGGCAAACAGGAUUAGAUACCCUGGUAGUCCACGCCCUAAACGAUGUCAACUAGUUGUUGGGGAUUCAUUUCCUUAGUAACGUAGCUAACGCGUGAAGUUGACCGCCUGGGGAGUACGGUCGCAAGAUUAAAACUUAAAUGAAUUGACGGGGUCAUAGCUGUUUCC